rnacentral:rRNA from 1 species
GAGAGUGGACGGCCACAUUGGGACUGAGACACGGCCCAGACUCCUGCGGGAGGCAGCAGUGGGGAAUAUUGCACAAUGGGGGGAACCCUGAUGCAGCAAUGCCGCGUGGGUGAAGAAGCACUCCGGUGCGUAAAGCCCUGUCAGCAGGGAAGAAAAUGACAGUACCUGGACAAGAAGCCCCGGCUAACUACGUGCCAGCAGCCGCGGUAAUACGUAGGGGGCAAGCGUUAUCCGGAUUUACUGGGUGUAAAGGGAGCGCAGGCGGCGUGGCAAGUCAGAUGUGAAAACCCGGGGCCCAACCCCGGGAGUGCAUUUGAAACUGCCAUGCUGGAGUGCCGGAGAGGUAAGCGGAAUUCCUAGUGUAGCGGUGAAAUGCGUAGAUAUUAGGAGGAACACCAGUGGCGGAGGCGGCUUACUGGACGGUAACUGACGCUGAGGCUCGAAAGCGUGGGGAGCAAACAGGAUUAGAUACCCUGGUAGUCCACGCCGUAAACGAU